rnacentral:rRNA from 1 species
GACGAAGGACCCGAGCGUUAUCCGGAUUCAUUGGGUUUAAAGGGUGCGUAGGUGGAUUGAUAAGUCAGUGGUGAAAUCUCCAGGCUUAACCUGGAAACUGCCAUUGAUACUGUCAAUCUUGAAUAUGUUUGAUGUGGGCGGAAUAUGACAUGUAGCGGUGAAAUGCUUAGAUAUGUCAUAGAACACCGAUUGCGAAGGCAGCUCACAAAGCCAUUAUUGACACUGAGGCACGAAAGUGUGGGGAUCAAACAGG